GGGGAUGACACAGUAGGAUAAGCUAACCGCACUGUUGGUUAUGUGCGGGCAAGUAUUGAGGCAGUUCUAAUAGGCAAAUCCGUUAGAAUAAUGCUGGGGUACGAUGCGGAGCGAAAUUUAGUAGCGAAGUAGCUGAUUUCACACUGUCGAGAAAAGUCUCUAUCGAGGUUAAAGGUGCCUGUACCGCAAACCGACACAGGUGGGUGAGGAGAGUAUCCUAAGGCCAGCGAGAGAACUGUUGUUAAGGAACUCGGCAAAAUGACCCCGUAACUUAGGGAGAAGGGGUGCCAUCGAAAGAUGGCCGCAGAGAAUAGGCCCAAGCGACUGUUUACCAAAAACAUAGGUUUCUGCUAAGUCGCAAGACGAUGUAUAGGAGCUGACGCCUGCCCGGUGCUGGAAGGUUAAGGGGAUCUGUUAGAGCAAUCGAAGCAGUGAACUUAAGCCCCAGUAAACGGCGGCCGUAACGAUAACGGUCCUAAGGUAGCGAAAUUCCUUGUCGGGUAAGUUCCGACCCGCACGAAGGGCGUAACGAUUUGGGCACUGUCUCAACAACAGACUCGGUGAAAUUGUAAUACCGGUGAAGAUGCCGGUUACCUGCGACAGGACGGAAAGACCCCAUGGAGCUUUACUGUAGCUUGACAUUGAGUCUCGGUGCUACAUGUACAGGAUAGGUGGGAGGCUAUGAAGCAUGGACGUCAGUCUGUGUGGAGCCAUCCUUGGGAUACCACCCUUGUAGUACUGGGAUUCUAACCAGCUGCCUUGAAUCAGGUAGUGGGACACUGUCAGGUGGACAGUUUGACUGGGGCGGUCGCCUCCUAAAAAGUAACGGAGGCGCUCAAAGGUUCUCUCAGCACGGUCGGAAAUCGUGCAUAGAGUGUAAAGGCAUAAGAGAGCUUGAUUGCAAGACAUACAGGUCGAGCAAGGACGAAAGUCGGACUUAGUGAUCCGGUGGUACCGUAUGGAAGGGCCAUCGCUCAACGGAUAAAAGCUACCCUGGGGAUAACAGGCUGAUCUCCCCCAAGAGUCCACAUCGACGGGGAGGUUUGGCACCUCGAUGUCGGCUCAUCACAUCCUGGGGCUGUAGUAGGUCCCAAGGGUUGGGCUGUUCGCCCAUUAAAGUGGUACGCGAGCUGGGUUCAGAACGUCGUGAGACAGUUCGGUCCCUAUCCGUCGCAGGCGUAGGAAAUUUGAGGAGACCUGUCCUAGUACGAGAGGACCGGGAUGGACGUACCGCUGGUGUACCAGUUGUUCUGCCAAGGGCAUGGCUGGGUAGCUAAGUACGGAAAGGAUAAGCGCUGAAAGCAUCUAAGCGCGAAGCCUACUUCAAGAUAAGAUUUCCCACCGCAAGGUUAAGAUCCCAGGAAGACUACCUGGUUGAUAGGUCAGAGGUGUAAGUGCAGUAAUGUAUUUAGCUUACUGAUACUAAUAGAUCGAGGACUUGACC
rnacentral:rRNA from 1 species